rnacentral:rRNA from 1 species
GAUGAACGCUGGCGGCGUGCUUAACACAUGCAAGUCGAACGGAAAGGCCCAAGCUUGCUUGGGUACUCGAGUGGCGAACGGGUGAGUAACACGUGGGUGAUCUGCCCUGCACUUCGGGAUAAGCCUGGGAAACUGGGUCUAAUACCGGAUAGGACCACUUCUUGGAUGUUGUGGUGGAAAGUUUUUUCGGUGUGGGAUGAGCUCGCGGCCUAUCAGCUUGUUGGUGGGGUAAUGGCCUACCAAGGCGUCGACGGGUAGCCGGCCUGAGAGGGUGUACGGCCACAUUGGGACUGAGAUGCGGCCCAGACUCCUACGGGAGGCAGCAGUGGGGAAGAUUGCACAAGGGGCGCAAGCCUGAUGCAGCGACGCCGCGUGGGGGAUGACGGCCUUCGGGUUGUAAACUCCUUUCGCUAGGGACGAAGCGUUUUGUGACGGUACCUGGAGAAGAAGCACCGGCUAACUACGUG